CAGGAGGACCGCGACAUUCGCGAGCCAAGCGACUGCCGAUGAACAUGAGAUUCCUCGCUCAUAUCCUACGCCUUCUUCUACUGAUCUGUUUUCUGCAGGUCGCCCUUGCGAAGCAGUGCGGUCACCUGAAUCAGGCAUGUGAUGGCGUCAAGAUCAAGUGUUGCACGGGACAUGUGUGUCACAACAAGAAGUGCAUCUGAAAGCUCGUCCCGGUACUCAGACCACGACACCUGCACGGGUUCGAGUGUCCGGACACGCUUACGAUCGGACACUCGAAGCGGGCAUGCUUGUUAGAUCCUCUCCCGCAGGUGGAAUCGGCUGAGAAAUCGUCAGCUCCUGAAGCAUGAACACUUUCUUUCGUAUAAAAGGCCUUCAUAUCUCAAUCUUCAGCUUCACUCACGGCUUAUCAAUUUCGAGAGGCGGGUAAUGACGACAACCCUCUGAAACAAUCUAGU